rnacentral:snRNA from 1 species
AUGCUUUGAGAGCACAUAUGCUGAAAUUGGAACAAUACAGAGAAGAUUAGCAUGAUCCCUGCACAAGGAUGACAUGCAACUUCCUGAAGGGUUCCAUAUUUUU